rfam:Oryza meridionalis cultivar OR44 (W2112) chromosome 12, whole genome shotgun sequence.
CCUCCGCCCCACCUAUAAGUUUACGUGUUUAACUUUAAUUAUCUAUCUUAUUUAAAAUUUUUUAAUUACUAUUUUUAUUAUUAUUAGAUGAUAAAACAUGAAUGAUAAUUUAUACGUGACUUAUGUUUUUAAUUUUUUUAAAAAAACUUUUUCAAAUAAUAUGGACGAUUAAAGUUAUACACGAAAAUUCAUAACUGCGUUUAAA